rnacentral:rRNA from 1 species
GGCGAACGGGUGAGUAACACGUGGGUAAUCUGCCCUGCACUCUGGGAUAAGCCUGGGAAACUGGGUCUAAUACUGGAUAUGACCUUUCUCCUUAUGGGGUUUGGUGGAAAGUUUUUCGGUGUAGGAUGAGCCCGCGGCCUAUCAGCUUGUUGUGGGUGAUGGCCUACCAAGGCGACGACGGGUAGCCGGCCUGAGAGGGUGAUCGGCCACAUUGGGACUGAGAUACGGCCCAG